CCCCUCUCAGGACUGCACCUGGAAAGUUUCCAGUAUUUUACCAGUCUUGGCUACGGGAGGGAGAGUCAAGCAAAGGCACGCUUAUUCCAUUCCUAGCUUGGUCAGUGGCUAGGGAGUGGAAGGCAAUCUUCUACAAGU